rnacentral:rRNA from 1 species
GUUGAAAAACGAGUAGCGAACGGGUGAGUAACGCAUGGGAAUCUACCUUAUAGUUUGGUUAAAUGCCUUAUAUAAAAAGAAUUUUCGCUAUAAGAUGAGCCUUUGUAGGAUUAGGUAGUUGGUAAGGUAACUGCUUACCAAGCCGAUGAUCCUUAAUUGGCCUGAGAGGGUGUACAAUCACAUUAGAACUGAGAAAGGUCUAAACAUUUACGAAUGGCAGCAGUGGGGAAUAUUGAACAAUGGGCGCAAGCUCGAUUCAGCGAUAUGGAGUGGAUGAUGACAGUCAUUUGAUUGUAAAGUCCUUUUACCAAGAAAGAUUUUGACUUUACUUGGAGAAAAAGCCCUGGCAAAUUUCGUGCCAGCAGCCGCGGUGAUACGAAAAGGGCUAGUGUUAUUCGGAAUAAUUGGGCGUAAAGGGUGAGUAGGCUGUAAUCAAAGUUAAUCAUUAAAUCUUAGUAGUAAGUACUAAAUCAAUUUUUAAUAACAAGUUACUAGAGUAAAAGAGAGGAUUGUAGAAUUUCAAGUGGAGAAAUAAAAUUCGUAGAUUUUUGAAGGAAUAUCGAAAGCGAAGGCAACAAUCUGGCUUUAUACUGACGCUGAUUCACGAAAGCGUAGGUAGCAACCGGGAUUAGAGACCCCGUUAGUCUACGCCGUAAACGAUGAGUACUCAUUUUUGGAUAGAAUAUAUUCAGAAAUUUAGCUAACGCGUUAAGUACUCCGCCUGAGAAGUACAGUGGCAACACUGAAACUCAA